rnacentral:rRNA from 1 species
GAUGAACGCUGGCGGCGUGCCUAAUACAUGCAAGUCGAGCGAACGGACGAGAAGCUUGCUUUUCUGAUGUUAGCGGCGGACGGGUGAGUAACACGUGGAUAACCUACCUAUAAGACUGGGAUAACUUCGGGAAACCGGAGCUAAUACCGGAUAAUAUUUUGAACCGCAUGGUUCAAAAGUGAAAGACGGUCUUGCUUUCACUUAUAGAUGGAUCCGCGCUGCAUUAGCUAGUUGGUAAGGUAACGGCUUACCAAGGCAACGAUGCAUAGCCGACCUGAGAGGGUGAUCCGACACACUGGAACUGAGACACGGUACAGACUCCUACGGGAGGCAGCAGCAGGGAAUCUUCCGCAAUGGGCGAAAGCCUGACGGAGCAACGCCGCGUGAGUGAUGAAGGUCUUCGGAUCGUAAAACUAUGUUAUUAGGGAAGAACAUAUGUGUAAGUACCUGUGAACAUCUUGACGGUACCUAAUCAGAAAGCCACGGCUAACUACGUG